rnacentral:misc_RNA from 1 species
UUAUUUGAUCAAAUUUAAAUGGGAAUUUUAGCACAUGCACAAUGAUAAUCGCUGUCUACAAUUUAAGAGUCCAUAAUUUAUAACAUAAAACUAUAUAACAUAAUAAGAAAUAUUCUUCUAUUAUAAAACAUCUUUCUCAGUAGCUAAAUGAUAAUUCCAUAUUUAUCAAAAUAUGUCAUGGUGAUUUUUUUACUUAUUUUUAGAACAUAUAUCAUUUUUA